GUGGGGAAUCUUCCGCAAUGGACGAAAGUCUGACGGAGCAACGCCGCGUGAGUGAAGAAGGUUUUCGGAUCGUAAAGCUCUGUUGUUUGAGACGAAUGUGCAGACUUUGAAUAAGGGUUUGUAAUGACGGUAUUAAACGAGAAAGCCACGGCUAACUACGUGCCAGCAGCCGCGGUAAUACGUAGGUGGCAAGCGUUGUCCGGAAUUAUUGGGCGUAAAGGGAGCGCAGGUGGGAAUGUAAGUCAGUCUUAAAAGUGCGGGGCUCAACCCCGUGAGGGGAUUGAAACUACAUUUCUUGAGUGCAGGAGAGGAAAGUGGAAUUCCUAGUGUAGCGGUGAAAUGCGUAGAGAUUAGGAGGAACACCAGUGGCGAAGGCGACUUUCUGGACUGUAACUGACACUGAGGCUCGAAAGCCAGGGGAGCGAACGGGAUUAGAAACCCUGGUAGUCC
rnacentral:rRNA from 1 species